UGUGUACUCCCUCCGUUCCAAAAUACUUGACUUCCAUUUGUCCAAAAAUGGAUGUACCUAUAUACUAAAACAUGUCUAGAUACNAAAAUGGAUGUACCUAUAUACUAAAACAUGUCUAGAUACAUAUAUAUUUUGACAAAUAGAAGGCAUGUAUUGUGCAACGGAGGGAGUAGAAU
rnacentral:pre_miRNA from 1 species